rnacentral:lncRNA from 1 species
GAAUGCGGGAGAUAUGUCUAUGAAUAAUUGCUAAAGGUGUACAUAUAUUAAUUUUGAUAAUAAGUAGGCAGAAGUUCCAGCAAAUUGUGAUAAACACUGAGGAAUCAAACAACACUGCUUGAAAGACUAUGAAA